GAUGAACGCUGGCGGCGUGCUUAACACAUGCAAGUCGAACGGUGAACACGGAGCUUGCUCUGUGGGAUCAGUGGCGAACGGGUGAGUAACACGUGAGCAACCUGCCCCUGACUCUGGGAUAAGCGCUGGAAACGGCGUCUAAUACUGGAUAUGUGACGUGACCGCAUGGUCUGCGUUUGGAAAGAUUUUUCGGUUGGGGAUGGGCUCGCGGCCUAUCAGCUUGUUGGUGAGGUAAUGGCUCACCAAGGCGUCGACGGGUAGCCGGCCUGAGAGGGUGACCGGCCACACUGGGAUUGAGACACGGCCCAGACUCCUACGGGAGGCAGCAGGGGGGAAUAUUGCACAAUGGGCGAAAGCCUGAUGCAGCAACGCCGCGUGAGGGAUGACGGCCUUCGGGUUGUAAACAUUUUUUAGCAGGGAAGAAGCGAAAGUGACGGUACCUGCAGAAAAAGCGCCGGCUAACUACGUG
rnacentral:rRNA from 1 species